UGCCCAGGCACAUCCGUGUCGGAUAUUGGGCGUAGGGCUCGCAGGCGGUUUCUUAAGUCUGAUGUGAAAGCCCCCGGCUCAACCGGGGAGGGUCAUUGGAAACUGGGGAACUUGAGUGCAGAAGAGGAGAGUGGAAUUCCACGUGUAGCGGUGAAAUGCGUAGAGAUGUGGAGGAACACCAGUGGCGAAGGCGACUCUCUGGUCUGUAACUGACGCUGAGGAGCGAAAGCGUGGGGAGCGAACAGGAUUAGAUACCCCCGUAGUCCCA
rnacentral:rRNA from 1 species